CCAGCCUAUGUUUUGGCAGCAUGUUCUCAUCUCCAUGCGGACAUGAGGUGCGAGAGAAAAUAUUUUACGACAAUUACGUAAUAUUUAUGAUGCGUGCGCACAUGCAACUUUUUUCUUCGUAAGGGAGAUAACUCUUAACUAAGCUCUUACUGAUGUGAAGUUACUCCAACAUAGGAUGCUAUAGAUCUGAUUUUAAAGAUUGUAGCACUAAAUUUAAUGAAGAAUGUUGCACAGUAUCCAUACGGUGGUGUACAGCUAAGUUUUCCAAAAAAAAUUCCUACUGAAUUUAGCCUCAUGUUGGACAAUGAGACUAAUGGAAUGACUAAGAAGAAACAUAGCCUUCUUCAGAAGUACCGAGUUAAACCACACGAUCUAUUAAUCACCUAUUCAUACCAUUGAAGAUAUAUAGACAUAUAUAUAUAUAUAUAUAUAUAUAUAUAUAUAUAUAUAUAUAUAUAUGUAUAUAUGUAUAUAUGAUCAUUGAAGCCUAAACCGAAUUUUAAAGGGAAGUUAUCAAAUUUUAAAGGGAAGGAAGUUGAUUUUAUAAGUCGUUCUAAAUUUUAAAGAAGUAUUUGUAAAAACGUUAUUAGCAGUGUAUUAUAAUGAUGAUGAUGAUGAUCUCUAUCGAAUUAUCGAUAAAUAGGUUUUUGCCUUAAAACACGAAUAAAAAUUAUUACAAGAAUAAAUUACUUGUUUUUACUCUUUUACUGGUUUUAUUCAUUGGACUGCGGCCAGCUGUGGCACCGCCUCCAAUAGUUUUGUUGAAUUUACCGACCAUUAACGUAGCUGGAGUGGGUGGUCCGCCCCGGGUGCACUUUUAUGGAGGCGGCACCACUUUUGGGUCUGUGUCGGCAAUAUGUAUUUUUUGUGGGGGCCGGGGGCGGCACACUAGCUAUGCUAGUGAUACCGAUCCUGGAGAAAUUAUUUCAAUUGUCCGUUUGUUUCUAUCAGUUCCUGGUAAACUUUCCGGAUUUUUGUGUCAUGAUUUUCUCCCGUUAACGAUACGGUUUUUCCCCUGCAUCUGAAUUUACCUAACGUAAAGGAAGCGAAAACAGUUUUGGUUUCUGUUUGAUACUCUAUAAAUUUGGAUCCACUAUAUAUUUUACUCACUUUUCGUAUCUGACGUGAGCAAAACAUUGAAUAUUAAUAGAAGAGAAAACGAUUAACAAUAAAUACACGAGACGCAAUUACUUAUCUACAAAAUUAAGGCUUUCAUCUCAUUUGACUGUUGGUUGUGGCGAAGAUUCAAAGCUUACUGAAGACCGCAACUCACAGGUGGAUGCUUAUUAAGGUAUAUCAAAAGAUUUCAUCAGAAGACAUUGUCAUUGCAAACAUUUUAAUCCAAGUCAUUGCUCUCACAUUAUGGGCAUAUCGUCACGUUUCAGUCACUGGAUACGAGCAAUGACCACAAUUACUGAAAGAAAAUUUUUAAAAAAUCUUAGUACACCUCCAGGGGACUUACGCUAUGAAAUUGAAAGAUUAUUGACGUUUUUUGAAAAUAUUCAUCCAAAGCUAACAUCUGUACAACUCUCUGGAAAUGGUUAUUAUUAUGAUACUACAGCAGAAAAAAUUAUGUGCUAUUUCUGUAAAACUGUAGUUAAAUUUUCAGAUUCCAGUUUCAAACAUGACCAUUCAUGUAGAUACAAAGUUGACAGUUUUCCAGUCUAUUUAUAUGAUGAAACAGAUGGUGAAAAUGCUGCAGCUUUUAAUGUUCAAAACACUGAACGAGAAACUGAGACUGUAGUAACAACUAGUACUGAAAAAGUUAUUAAUUCAAAUAAAAAUGAAAUGCUUGAUAUGCAAAAAAGACUGGAUACCUUUAAAAAUUGGAACAAAAGCGUGCCAGUAACACCCACAGAUCUUGCCAAGAAUGGAUUUUAUUACCUAGGUUAUGGAGAUGCUGUUAAAUGUGCAUACUGCUCUGUCCAACUGCGCAACUGGAAAGAAAAUGAUGAUGUCCAUAAAGAACAUACACGUUUUAGUCCGAAAUGUCCAAAUUUAGAAUCUUUUAUGAAAAUGGAUUUGAAAUACGAACUGAAUCGGAUAAAAAGUUUUGUCAAGUGGACGACAUCUUACCCAUUAAAAGCUAAAGAUUUGGCAGCUAAUGGUUUCUACCACAAGGGGCCUGCAGAUAAUGUCUGUUGUAUAUUUUGCAAAUGUGAAAUCAAUAAUUGGAAAGCCAAUGAUAAUAUUAAAGAAAAACACAGGUCAGUUUCACCGAACUGUCCUUUCUUGUGUGAGAAAUUGGUAGGUAAUGUACCUAUACAAGCUCGGAGUAACAUUCUAUUUGACCGCCCGAUACAUCCGAAUCUUGCUUUGUUAAGUGAACGCCUUAAAACAUUUUCUUCGUGGCCAAAGGAUAAAAAACAAAAACCAGAAGUUUUAGCAGAAGCUGGUUUUUUUCAUAAUGGAAAGUCUGAUACAGUAAUUUGUUUUAGCUGUGAUGGCGGUUUAUGUAAUUGGGAUGAUGAUGAUCAACCAUGGCAUGAACAUGCUCGAUGGUUUCCAAGAUGUACUUUUGUACAACAGAUGAAAGAUUCUAAGUACAUUGCAUCUGCAAGUAUGAAAAACAAAGCAUCUUCAUAUAACCAGGUGUUAGAUAAUGCUAGUUCAGUUCUAGAUGGCUCUGCAGAACCUACUGAAGGAUCAAGUACUAUUGAAGAUGUUACAACUUUCCCAAAUACUCCAACUUCAGAGUUUUCAGGAAAUUUUUAUGAAUUUGAAUUCUAUACAUGGGACUUCAUGCAAUUAUGCAAAAAAAAAAUUGUGGUAGAGUGUGAUUUAAGGCUUAGGCCUAUUUGGCUGCUAUUUUUAGCACACAUAACAACCAUCUCAAUAAAUGCGACAAAAAUAUUCAAUAAACAAGUCCACUUUUUUAAUACAAAGGGACAUUUCAUGUAUUCUUCCCAAAUCUCGAAAUCUUAAAUAUAAAUACUCAUGUUUGGAUACACCUCCAGUUCUGGCCGUUUUAUCUAUGGGUUAUAAACGAAAUGUAGUCAAAAGAGUAGUAAAGAAUAAAAUCAAAGAAACAGGUUCUUCUUUUUCAAAAGCAUCGCAGUUACUUGAAGCGAUCCAUAAAUGUCCUGAUUUUGAUGAUGAUAUUGAGGAUGUAAGUGAUGAAGAGGAGCCUGUCCAAACAACAAUAAAAAAUGACACUGAAAUGUCUGCUA